rnacentral:rRNA from 1 species
UACGUAGGGUGCAAGCGUUUAAUCGGAAUUACUGGGCGUAAAGCGUGCGCAGGCGGUUUUGUAAGUCUGUCGUGAAAUCCCCGGGCUCAACCUGGGAAUUGCGAUGGAGACUGCAAGGCUAGAAUCUGGCAGAGGGGGGGUAGAAUUCCACGUGUAGCAGUGAAAUGCGUAGAGAUGUGGAGGAACACCGAUGGCGAAGGCAGCCCUCUGGGUCAAGAUUGACGCUCAUGCACGAAAGCGUGGGGAGCAAACAGG